GAUGAAGAACGUAGUGAAAUGCGAUAAGUAGUGUGAAUUGCAGAAUUCAGUGAAUCAUCGAAUCUUUGAACGCACAUUGCGCCCCUUGGUAUUCCAUGGGGCAUGCCUGUUCGAGGGUCAUUUGUACCUUCAAGCUUUGCUUGGUGUUGGGUGUUUGUCUCGCCUUUGCGUGUAGACUCGCCUUAAAAUAAUUGGCAGCCGGCGUAUUGAUUUCGGAGCGCAGUACAUCUCGCGCUUUGCACUCAUAACGACAGCGUCCAAAAGUACAUUUUACACUCUUGACCUCGGAUCAGGUAGGGAUACCCGCUGAACUUAAGCAUAUCAAUAAGCGGAGGA
rnacentral:misc_RNA from 1 species